ACAAAGAUCAGAUUAGAGAACAGAAACACAAUGAGAUUAGUUUCUCUACUUUGAUAUCUCAAUUCUCUCCCUUCAAUUUCCCAAUUCCCUCUCUCCAAUUUCUUACUAGAUUUAUAACAUAUUAUUCUUUAAAUUUUAUAAUAAAAGCAACUAAUAACAAUAAAAAUCUCAAUUUUAUUCUUUAAAUGUUAUUAGUUGCUUUUAUUAUAAAAUUGAAAAAGAGAUCCCUCUCUCUCAUCAGUUACUUUUAGGGCUGGGCAUCUGAGCACUGCCCUCGCCGCCUCCUCCCGUCUCUGCGAUUCUGUCAGUUGAAGUCUCGGCGUCACACGCCACCGAACAGGCGCGCACCAUUGGCUUGUCGUGAGCUGGAGUUGCUCAUCUCCGAUCUCUACAGUCGGAUGAAGAAAGCUCUUGCGCAAAUCAAGCAGGGAACACACCCAUUUGCAUGAGUGAGGACAAUGCUAAUGAAAUUAGUGAUGCUAGAGAUUAGAUAGCCGGAGCAAUAUCAUUAGUCUUAUCUUAGAAUUUAUUUGGUCUAGAAUAAUUUAAUUUAAUAUGUAUUAUUUACGACUUGAAGAUCAAUUGAGUUUGACGAUCAUUAUUUAUGUAUGGUAUUAAAAUCAGUAUGUUUAGUAUAAUU